AUUGGUUCAUGGACGCUUCGUCUGAUUCUUCGAUGCAUCAUCCUCUCUUGCGGCCUAUUUCCCAAUUGGAUAGUUAACCUCUAUAACUCCAAUUUCCUUGGCGUAAUUUUUGCUCUUCUUCGCCUGAUGCCUGAACUCGUGGCCUGAAGCCUUUGGUCGAUACGUCGACUGAUCCUCCGACUCGACAUCCAAUCUUCUAAUAUGUUCCACUCCGGCC
rnacentral:lncRNA from 1 species